UACAGAGACUGCAAGCGUUAUUCGGAUUCACUGGGCGUAAAGGGUGCGCAGGUGGCCAAGUGUGUUAGGCGUGAAAGCCCGGGGCUUAACCCCGGAAUUGCACCUAAAACUACUUGGCUAGAGCAUUGGUGAGGGGAGCAGAAUUCAUGGUGUAGCAGUGAAAUGCGUAGAUAUCAUGAGGAAUACCGGUGGCGAAGGCGGCAUCCUGGACCAACACUGACACUGAGGAGCGAAAGCCAGGGGAGCAAACGGG
rnacentral:rRNA from 1 species